GUAUUCGUACGGUUUUGGUUGUUUUGGUGGGGGAUGGGCUCGCGGCCUAUCAGCUUGUUGGUGGGGUGAUGGCCUGCCAAGGCUUUGACGGGUAGCCGGCCUGAGAGGGUGGGCGGUCACACUGGGACUGAGACACGGCCCAGACUCCUACGGGAGGCAGCAGUGGGGAAUAUUGCACAAUGGGCGCAAGCCUGAUGCAGCGACGCCGCGUGAGGGAUGGAGGCCUUCGGGUUGUGAACCUCUUUCGCCAGUGAAGAAGGUCCUGCUCUUUGUGGUGGGGUUGACGGUAGCUGGGUUAAUGAAGCGCCGGCUAACUAC
rnacentral:rRNA from 1 species